GACGAACGCUGGCGGCGUGCCUAAUACAUGCAAGUAGAACGCUGAAGAGAGGAGCUUGCUCUUCUUGGAUGAGUUGCGAACGGGUGAGUAACGCGUAGGCAACCUGCCUUGUAGCGGGGGAUAACUAUUGGAAACGAUAGCUAAUACCGCAUAACAAUGGAUGACACAUGUCAUUUAUUUGAAAGGGGCAAUUGCUCCACUACAAGAUGGACCUGCGUUGUAUUAGCUAGUAGGUGAGGUAAUGGCUCACCUAGGCGACGAUACAUAGCCGACCUGAGAGGGUGAUCGGCCACACUGGGACUGAGACACGGCCCAGACUCCUACGGGAGGCAGCAGUAGGGAAUCUUCGGCAAUGGGGGCAACCCUGACCGAGCAACGCCGCGUGAGUGAAGAAGGUUUUCGGAUCGUAAAGCUCUGUUGUAAGUCAAGAACGGGUGUGAGAGUGGAAAGUUCACACUGUGACGGUAGCUUACCAGAAAGAGACGGCUAACUACGUG
rnacentral:rRNA from 1 species